AUGAAUUCUGGGAUUUGCAGUCUGUAGAUUAAUGAAGAAGUGGGUUAAUGAAGCAGAAGAAUCCUAUAGAGGAAAUUCACUGCCACACAGUAUUUGCAUACUCUUCUCAAGAAAUUCCAAGGACAACUGAUGCUGCAAUACCCCCCCAGUCCUUUGGGGACUCUGUCUAGUUAUUACAACGCACAAGAUGCAGGACAGGAGCGGCGCAUGGACUUGAAUUCAGACAGAUCUGAGCUCUUGUUAGGGCUGCCAUUUACAAACCGAUGAUGAAAGUGACACCAACGUGCAGCAUGUGGAUUGGAAGGAAGGGACUAGUUAGGACCGUAGUGAGACUGGAUUUCGAAAUAUUUGACAAAGAAAUGGAAUUAGAAAUCUUGAAACAAGGGU